rnacentral:rRNA from 1 species
UACAGAGGGGGCAAGCGUUGUUCGGAAUUACUGGGCGUAAAGGGCGCGUAGGCGGCCUGUUAAGUCGGACGUGAAAUCCCUCGGCUCAACCGGGGAACUGCGUCCGAUACUGGCGGGCUUGAAUUCGGGAGAGGGAUGCAGAAUUCCAGGUGUAGCGGUGAAAUGCGUAGAUAUCUGGAGGAAUACCGGUGGCGAAGGCGGCAUCCUGGACCGACAUUGACGCUGAACGGCGAAAGCUAGGGGAGCAAACGGG